rnacentral:rRNA from 1 species
UACGUAGGGUGCGAGCGUUAAUCGGAAUUACUGGGCGUAAAGCGUGCGCAGGCGGUUCGUUGUGUCUGAUGUGAAAGCCCCGAGCUUAACUUGGGAAUUGCGCUUGUGACUGGCGAGCUGGAGUGUGGCAGAGGGAGGUGGAAUUCCACGUGUAGCAGUGAAAUGCGUAGAGAUGUGGAGGAACACCGAUGGCGAAGGCAGCCUCCUGGGCCAGCACUGACGCUCAUGCACGAAAGCGUGGGGAGCAAACAGG